rnacentral:rRNA from 1 species
GACGAACGCUGGCGGCGUGCCUAACACAUGCAAGUCGAGCGGAGUCGAUCGACGGAAGCCUUCGGGCGGAAGAUGGUUGACUUAGCGGCGGGAUGGGUGAGUAACGCGUGGGCAACCUGCCUCGAAGACCGGGAUAACAGCCCGAAAGGGCUGCUAAUACCGGAUGUGGUCAAAGAUCCGCAUGGAUUUUGAUUAAAGGGGAAACCCGUUUCGAGAUGGGCCCGCGUCCUAUCAGCUAGUUGGUGAGGUAAAAGCUCACCAAGGCGACGACGGGUAGCCGGCCUGAGAGGGUGACCGGCCACACUGGAACUGAGACACGGUCCAGACUCCUACGGGGGGCAGCAGUGGGGAAUCUUCCACAAUGGGCGAAAGCCUGAUGGAGCGACGCCGCGUGAGCGAAGAAGGCCUUCGGGUUGUAAAGCUCUGUCUGGAGGGACGAAGGAAGUGACGGUACCUCCGGAGGAAGCCACGGCUAACUACGUG